AUUGAUGACCUAUUGGUGACCUUCUGCUGUUGUCAGUUCUAUGGUCGGGUUGUUGUCUCUUUGACAAAUUCCCCAUUUCCAUUCUCAAUUUUAUCCCAUGCAUUCUCCUAUAAUUUAGAUGAUUAAAUUAACAAUAUGUCUCACUCAUAAAUUCUUUAUUAUUAUAGAUGAAUCCAGAUUAAAAUUCAGACGUCAGCUCAAAUUUGUUAACAUUAAUAAGUUUAUUUCAAAUUUAACGACAUGAAAAAUACAUUCUUUUUGGUAAACAAACUGUAAAAAAAACCGAUUUACUUAAUACAACUAUGUAAAUAUUUGUAUAUGAUACCAUUCACAGCUAUAUAAAUAUUUGUAUCGGGAUACCACUCAUUCUAUUUUUAGUCAAAUACAGUUGUGACAACACCACCAUAUCUUCUGACGAGUGAAAACCAAAUUCUUGAUAUGACUAUUACAUCUCAACACUAUGGGUACUGGACUUGUUCUGCUAGAAAUCAAAAUGGUGAAGUUAACGCAACAGCUGUAAUAAAACCGCCUGUACCAAGUGGAUAAGGCAGCAAUCUUACAUCAGGGAAACAAAACCAAAUAUCAGGUGUUAAUAUGUAUGCAAAUUAAAGUAAUAAAGU